rnacentral:rRNA from 1 species
AUUGAACGCUGGCGGCAUGCUUUACACAUGCAAGUCGAACGGUAACAGGCCGCAAGGUGCUGACGAGUGGCGAACGGGUGAGUAAUGCAUCGGAACGUGCCCAGUCGUGGGGGAUAACGCAGCGAAAGCUGUGCUAAUACCGCAUACGAUCUAUGGAUGAAAGCGGGGGACCGUAAGGCCUCGCGCGAUUGGAGCGGCCGAUGUCAGAUUAGGUAGUUGGUGGGGUAAAGGCCUACCAAGCCGACGAUCUGUAGCUGGUCUGAGAGGACGACCAGCCACACUGGGACGGAGACACGGCCCAGACUCCUACGGGAGGCAGCAGUGGGGAAUUUUGGACAAUGGGCGCAAGCAUGAUCCAGCAAUGCCGCGUGCAGGAAGAAGGCCUUCGGGUUGUAAACUGCUUUUGUACGGAACGAAACGGUCUGGGUUAAUACCCCGGGCUAAUGACGGUACCGUAAGAAUAAGCACCGGCUAACUACGUGCCAGCCGCCGCGGUAAAAC